rnacentral:rRNA from 1 species
UACGUAGGGUGCAAGCGUUGUCCGGAAUUAUUGGGCGUAAAGAGCUCGUAGGCGGUCUGUUGCGUCCGCUGUGAAAACUCGGGGCUUAACCCCGAGCCUGCAGUGGAUACGGGCAGACUGAGAUGGUAGGGUAGGGAGAUGAAUUCCCGUGUAGCGGUGAAAUGCGCAGAUAUCAGGAGGAACACCGGUGGCGAAGGCGGGUCUCUGGGCAGUAACUGACGCUGAGGAGCGAAAGCGUGGGGAGCGAACAGG